rnacentral:snoRNA from 1 species
AUCCUAUGAUGUGGACACUUACGAAGCAAUUCUUUAGAUCUUUCCCAUGCCUCGUAAAAAGACUCGUCAUCCAAUUUUUGCAAAGUGGUUAUCUCAUUUUUCAACUU